rnacentral:rRNA from 1 species
GAUCAUGGCUCAGGAUGAACGCUAGCUACAGGCUAACACAUGCAAGUCGAGGGGCAGCAUUGGAGUAGCAAUACUCAGAUGGCGACCGGCGCACGGGUGAGUAACACGUAUCCAACCUGCCGCUUACUCGGGGAUAGCCUUUUCGAAAGAAAGAUUAAUACCCGAUGGUAUAAAGAGUUCGCAUGUUCUCUUUAUUAAAGAAUUUCGGUAAGCGAUGGGGAUGCGUUCCAUUAGAUAGUUGGCGGGGUAACGGCCCACCAAGUCUACGAUGGAUAGGGGUUCUGAGAGGAAGGUCCCCCACAUUGGAACUGAGACACGGUCCAAACUCCUACGGGAGGCAGCAGUGAGGAAUAUUGGUCAAUGGACGAGAGUCUGAACCAGCCAAGUAGCGUGAAGGAUGACUGCCCUAUGGGUUGUAAACUUCUUUUAUAAGGGAAUAAAGUGAGGGACGUGUCCCUUUUUGUAUGUACCUUAUGAAUAAGGAUCGGCUAACUCCGUGCCAGCAGCAGC